GCCGAAGUGGUGAAACUGGUAGACACGCACGUUUCAGGGGCGUGUGAACGCAAGUUCAUGCGAGUUCGAGUCUCGCCUUCGGCACCA
rnacentral:tRNA from 1 species